rnacentral:lncRNA from 1 species
GGCCUCCGUGCUGCUGAGCCGUUUUCGAUGAUGGAAUUUUCGAAUCGACAAUCGGCUUCGUUAGACUUGAUCUAGCGUUCGAUCAGAAAUAUUGAUCUUGUUGUAAAUAGUAUAAAGAAUUUUGUAUCAAAAUUUUAUCUGAUUUGAAUACUUCUAUACCGUUAAACUUGAAAACGACAGAUAUCAACCAUUAAAAAUUAUUGAUUUUGAACGCUUUCGACCACUAAGUAAAUGAUAUCAAAAAAUUGCAAAAAUUAUUUUUUAGAAACUUCAAAUACGCUGGAU